rnacentral:rRNA from 1 species
AACUAGGGCCUAGAUACCCUAUUAUUAAAAAUUUAAUUAAAAAUACUAAAAUAGUAAAUAGGUAUUUAUAUUGAAACUUAAAUAAGAUGGCGGUAUUUUAGUUCAUUUAGAGGAAUCUGUCUAAUAAUUGAUAAUCCACGAAUAAAUUUACUUAAUUUAAAAUUUUAUAUAUCGUUGUUAAAAAAAUAUUUUUUAAUAAAAAUAAUAUUUAAAAAUUAAAAUAAAAAAUUAAUUCAGAUCAAGAUGUAAAGUAUAAUUAAGAAUAUAAUGGAUUACAAUAAAAUAAUUUAUGAAUAAUUAAUUUAAAAAUUAAUUUGAAGGUGGAUUUAAAUGUAAUUUUAAUUAGUCUCUACGGGCCCUUAA